GCCCUUAGAGUUUGAUGGUGGCUCAGGACGAACGCUGGCGGCGUGCCUAAUACAUGCAAGUCGAACGCACUCUCGUUUAGAUUGAAGGAGCUUGCUCCUGAUUGAUAAACAUUUGAGUGAGUGGCGGACGGGUGAGUAACACGUGGGUAACCUGCCCUAAAGUGGGGGAUAACAUUUGGAAACAGAUGCUAAUACCGCAUAAAACCUAACACCGCAUGGUGUAGGGUUGAAAGAUGGUUUCGGCUAUCACUUUAGGAUGGACCCGCGGUGCAUUAGUUAGUUGGUGAGGUAAAGGCUCACCAAGACCGUGAUGCAUAGCCGACCUGAGAGGGUAAUCGGCCACACUGGGACUGAGACACGGUCCAGACUCCUACGGGAGGCAGCAGUGGGGAAUAUUGCACAAUGGGGGGAACCCUGAUGCAGCCAUGCCGCGUGUAUGAAGAAGGCCUUCGGGUUGUAAAGUACUUUCAGUUGUGAGGAAGGCGUUGGAGUUAAUAGCUUCAGCGCUGACG
rnacentral:rRNA from 1 species